rnacentral:rRNA from 1 species
UACGUAGGGUGCGAGCGUUGUCCGGAAUUACUGGGCGUAAAGCGCACGUAGGCGGCUUUGUAAGUUAGAGGUGAAAGCCCGGGGCUCAACUCCGGAAUUGCCUUUAAGACUGCAUCGCUAGAAUUGUGGAGAGGUAAGUGGAAUUCCGAGUGUAGAGGUGAAAUUCGUAGAUAUUCGGAAGAACACCAGUGGCGAAGGCGACUUACUGGACACAUAUUGACGCUGAGGUGCGAAAAGCGUGGGGGAGCAAACAGG